UGUGGGAGCGAGCCUGCUCGCGAUAGCUUUGUGUCAGGCACAUCAAUGCUACUGAUCAAACGCUAUCGCGAGCAGGCUCGCUCCCACA
rnacentral:misc_RNA from 1 species